CAGUGUCCCAUGUGCCCGUGCUUCCGUCUUUCUGAUCUUCUGCUGCAUUUGCUCUCUUCCCGCUGCAUUCUCUCUCCCACUACAUUCUCUUUCUUUCUUUUUUUGGUUUUUUUUUGGGAUAAUGUUGCUCUAUCACUUAUCCGCAUCCUCUGGAACCUGGUACAAAAUUUUGUUGACCUCCUCCUUUGUUGUAAUAGGCUUUCUUCUUCAUCUCCGGUGAGGUCAGAUCUUCUCUUCAGAUCUUGUGCUUUCUUCUUUCUCUCCAACGGAAUCCGCAGUAGAAGUUUCUGAACUGAAAAAGGAAAGCUAAUCUCAGGGAGAUAGAUAGAAGAGAAGGUACGACGGCGUCCAAGAUGCAGAGUAUCGCGGUUCUUCAGACCGAGAAUAACCUUGCAA